GGAGUCUUCCACCAUCUGGUAGCUUCACAGCUGGAUCCACCGGCGGGCCCUCAGACCUGCAGUGCAGCGACGGCACCACGCCAACCUGUGCCGGGCUCCCACCACAGACCCCGUCCAAAACACUUAAUCAAAAGGGACACUCUCUCCACUUGGUCCCGCAUGAAAAGGAAGCUGUUGGCCCACGCUGUGCACCUUGGCAGCUCGACAGAGAGCAACCCAGAUUGGUCCACUCUCCACUACGGUGCGAGGACAUUGGAGAGGAGGCCUGUGAUACAAUCUGCAUUCUCUAGCAGGUGCCAUUUCCGAGAAAACUGUUCAGCGAGGUGUCCGGGAAGGAGUCGCCACAUCGUGAGACAAAUAGGAAGUCUGUGGAAGUUCUCCGGAUCUAUCGGUGCAGUGUGUAGAGCAUGGUGUACUCUGUGAAGAGGACCCGCUCCCCAGACUCCCCUUUUCUCCAUUUCAAAGCACCAGAGCAGUCUGCUUCUCCCUUCCCCCCCCUUCAGCUGUGUUCUGUUCUCUCUGCAGGGCUGCGUCAAGAUGACGUCAAGACGCACACAACACAACCGGAAGCAUUCACCGGAAGUUCGUGUAUUUACUGCAGACAGCUUGAUGGGGGUUUUAGCAUUUAGGAAUGUGGAGCCCAGCAGCUACGUCAUCACCCCUCAAAUCUCUCUGGGGUCCCAACGACACAAAACUCCUCCAAAGCUGUAAAACACCACCACAAACCCUCCGGGACUCUUGUCUCCAUGGUAACGUGGAGGACGCCCCAGCCUCGCUGCCUGCAAGGGGGCGGAACCUAAGCUGAAGGACGGUGUGUCUCUCUCUCCUCCAGUGUGAAAGCAGAAUCAGUCGAAGAUGCCAUUUCACGACGGAGCCUAUUACCCCUACACCGGUGAGACCCAGGGGACCCACUCCUCAGCUGGGAUCCCCUCCCUCCUGAACUCCCCUCUCAGCCAGCACUCUGCUGCACCCGGCAUGACUCCAUCCAGCGCCGCCUCCGCCUCCGCCAUCGCCAUCCUCCCCUUCAAGUUCCGCCCGCGCCGGGAGAGCGUGGACUGGCGUCGCAUCAACGCCGUGGACGUGGACCAGGUGGUGAGCCAACUGGACGUGGACGCCCUCCAGGAGCACGUCGCCGGCGUCACCUUCUGCAGCCUGGACGGCGAGCGGUGCCAGCGGUGCCAGAGCCCCGUGGACCCGGCGCUGGUCAAGCUCCUGCGGCUGGCGCAGCUCACGGUGGAGUGGCUGCUGCACUGCCAGGAGUUCCUCGCCGGCAACCUGCGCGCGGCGGAGGAGAGGGUGGCGGCCGGCGGCAGGGAGCGCGAGCGCCUGCUGGUCCAGCAGAGGAAGCAGGAGGAGAGGGAGAAGGCGCUGACCGCCGAGCUCAAGCAGAGGAAGAAGGUCAUUCGCACGCAGCAGUCCAUGCUCUCGCCACGGAUCGUCAGUGGACAGAAGUGUCCACAUUGUGAUAAAUCCUUCCUCAAUUCCACGUUCCUCGAGAAUCACAUGCAGCGGCGCCACCCUGACGAGUACGACAUGGAGUUGCGGUCAGACAGCGAGAAGAAAUCUCAGAUUGACAGCCUCAAAUUUGAGAUCAGCAGUCUGAAGGAGCAGAUUGUUCAACAGCAGCAGGACCUGCAGGCCAAAACAGCUCAGGAAAAAGAGCAGCAGUCCAUGCACAAAGACGUGCUGAGAGAACUGGACCGGUUCAAAGCGGAGGAGAUGGCGCGCAUGGACAGGAAGAUAGAAGACAGCAGGGACGGCAUGCGCAGGGAGAUGGAGUUCCUUUACACCCGGAAUAUCCAGGCUGUCAACGAAGCAAAUCAGAAUCAGACAGCCAGACAAGAGAAAUCAGCCAGCCCUGUUCACUCACAGCCAGAGAGAGAUGUGGACAACUACAAAGAGAUGCAGAUACAAGCCAUGCAGAAGCUGGAGCAGCAGCUGAAGAAGCAGGAUAAAAAAUGGGGAUCCCGGCUGCAGGAAAUGAAGGCCCAACACGAGUCUGAAAAGAACCAGCUGCUGAACGAGAUGAGCAGGAUGCAGUCGUCGGUGUCGGAGCAGCAGGACAGCAGCCAGUGGCUGCAGCAGGAGAUGGGCAGGAGGCUGCAGGAGAAGGAGCAGACCAUCAAGGCUCAGAGGGAGCAGAUACGGAAUAUUUCCUCCCAUCCACCCACCAAAAUAGUGGAAGUACCAGUCAUGGUCAGUGCACCACCUCCGGAGCCUAAACCAAAGAGAGUUGUACUCGAGGAGCCAGUGUGUGCUCCUAAGCUGGAUCCUAUACAGGAGCUGUCAGAAGAGGAGAAAGAAUCGAGCAGCUUCUCUGAGAGGAGGCCAGUGGAGAAGAAGCCUGAGCCCGUACCGGAGAAGAAACCGAGGACGCCCAGCAGCGCUCUGAGAAAGAACCCCAACAUCAAGAAAGAGAUGCGGCCGGAUCUGGAGCAGGCUGUUAUUGAGAAGCUGGAGAACCUGGGAGUCAAACCUGAUCAGAGCGGUCUGAAGGACAAAGAGCUCAGCUCCAUCCUGGCCAGGGUGCAUUCGAAGCGGGAGAGCGUCGCAAAGGGGAUGCCUGACUACUGGCGCCACCGGGAGGAGCUAGCCAGCAGUGUGGAGCAGAAGCUGGGCGGUCAGAGGAGAGGCAGCGACCCGGCUCCAGAGUCCCAGGCCAGAUCCAGACAAUCAGUCCAAGUGUUGCAGAUCCGCCCCCGGUCCAGCAGCCUGCCCUCCAGAGCGACCCAGGUGUUGUCCGGACCCGCGGUCAAACAGCCAAAGACCCCGCAGCCGGCACCGAGGACCAGGACCGCUGUCCAACCCAAGACGUCUACACCCAACGCCAAGACCGCUCCGAGGACCUUCACAUCCAGGACCCCCCCUUUCAGCUCAGAUGAGGAGUCUGAAGACGAAGACUCCGAGGAGGAACAGCCCCAAAAACACCAGAGGGGCAAAUCGCCACAGCCCAGACUAAACCAGGUCCAGAUCAGAGCCAGCAAAGCCAGUCCGGUCCAGGCCAGGCAGGCUCCAGCCAAGUACUCCUUCUCCUCCAACCCACAGCAGGCCAAGAGGUCGGCGACCAAGACGGCAGUCAAACAGAUGGAGAGCGACGAAGAGGACGAGGACGAGUGGUCGGAGGUCAGCGAGCUGCAGGAGAUCAACCCCAAAAGUCUCCAGAAUUACAGAGACCAGAACGGCAACGUGGAGAAGAGGAACUUUGGCAAAGAGAACAAAAUCAACGACCUGGCCAGAAAAAUGGAGAAGCAGCAUGCGGAGAGAUCGACGAAGAAACCAGCAGGGGGCGUCAGCAUCUUACCAGAGAGGAAGGAUGAGGUUCAGGAGCUCUUGAGGACAGACUGGAAGUAUCUAAACCAGCUCAGGGCUCUGGACCAAUGAGGAAGAGCCAGGACUCACCCAGCACCAGCGUCUGGGGAACCUCGACAGGAAAGGCUCCCAAAUCAGGUCUGACUGAAGCUGGAACAGGAAACACCCUGAAGAGCAGCCUGUGCUCCCUCAGCGACAUCAGCGACUCCGAGGACUUUAGCAAUAAAUACAAUAAACGCUACGGCUGAUCAGGUGAUGUAGCUCUACGCCAAGCACCAACACAACGACCUCAGUCAACUCCUCUGACACCUACAGUCCAUGCCAAAUAGCCAUAUUUUAUACUGUUAUUACAUGGAAGCUAUAAUACAGAGAGAGCAAAACGUAAAGGGAUAGUUUGGGUGUAUUACCUACCUACAACCCCACUUCAAAACACCCAAACUAUCCCUUUAACAAAGGGACUUUGGAUUCAGAUAUUAGAAUAGAAAAGAAGACUAAUCUAAUAAAUAGAAAAUAGAGAUAAAUGAGAUCACAGCUUCCAUUGACUUUUCAUUUUCAGCCUCACUUUAUGCCUCGUGCCAAUUCUUUGCUUGCCUUAGACCUCUCCAGUGUUCAACGUUUUUUUUCCCGUUUGGUAUAUUCACUGAAAUAUAACCCACACACCAAAUGACAUGCUGUUUGUGUAAAGUUUUGUACAUCAAAUUUUUAUAAUGUGUUAAAUGAAGCAAUGUGAUUUUUGUAUAGAAAAUAUUUAUACGAGCAAUAAAAGAUUUCUUUGUGGAAUACA